UCUUGCCUCUGGAAGAUCAUACAUAUCUGG
rnacentral:piRNA from 1 species